GAGGAACCCAGAUUUGUGCCACUGGCUCAAGAGACCACAUAGUGAGGAAUCCCAUAAAAACCACAGAAGACGGCAGAGGACGACAGGCGCCGCACUGAUUUCACCCAGGCUGCAUGAGUGUCAUCUGCUCAGAGACUGUCAGCAGAGCUGUGUGGAACUAUUAAUUCCUGCUGUGUGGAUUUUCAGAAGGCAGCGAGAGCUGAUGGAUGUAAGCAGGCAGUAGCUGCAGGCAGCCUGGACGCCCUGAUUCCCUACCUAAAACACAACUUUGGCCUCUGUUAUAGGAUUCUGUAACAGAUUCUCCAACUCACCAGUGGUCUGGUUCUUCCUCUCUGUGUGAGCUUUAGAAAUAAUUGCAAAAAUCACACUGCAAAUACGAGAACCCAAGAGGAAAGGGACACCAACAUCAAAGCUUG
rnacentral:lncRNA from 1 species